rnacentral:rRNA from 1 species
UUGAAAGGGAAACGAUUGAAGUCAGUCGUACCGACGAGAAAUCAGCUUAUCGUGUGUUAACUUGUGGGCGUGCGUGAGUUUCGGCCUCGCUGUUUGCAUGUUUGUGCGCUUUGGGUGUACUUUUUCGUAUGGUUGGCCAACAUCAGUUUCGAUCACUAUAAAAUGACUGGCGGAAUGUAGCUUCGAUUUCGGUUGAAGUGUUAUAGCCUCUGGUAGAUGUGGUGGUUGGGACUGAGGAUUGCAACGAAUAUCCUUUGGGCUAUCCGUCUGGCCUCUGAAAGUUGCUUGGGUGCUGAAAGCUUGCUUAUGGUUAUCUAAGUUAACGGUCAAUAGGUUAGAACGCGAUUACAUUCGUUAAGGAUGUUGACGUA